GAUGAACGCUGACAGAAUGCUUAACACAUGCAAGUCUUUGGCGAAGCUGUGCUUGCACAGCCUAGCCAAGGCGGACGGGUGAGUAACGCGUAAGGAACUUGCCCUGCAGUCAGGGAUAACAGACGGAAACGACUGAUAAGACCUGGUAAAGUCAGGCGGACUCAUGUCCAGCCUGAUGAAAAGUGAUGCUGCAGGAGAGCCUUGCGUCCUAUUAGCUUGUUGGUGGGGUAACGGCCCACCAAGGCGAUGAUAGGUAGCCGGCCUGAGAGGGUGGACGGCCACAAGGGGACUGAGAUACGGCCCUUACUCCUACGGGAGGCAGCAGGGGGGAAUAUUGGACAAUGGGGGCAACCCUGAUCCAGCAAUUCUGUGUGCACGAUGAAGGUUUUCGGAUUGUAAAGUGCUUUCAGCAGGGAAGAAAAAAAUGACGGUACCUGCAGAAGAAGCGACGGCUAAAUACGUG
rnacentral:rRNA from 1 species